rnacentral:rRNA from 1 species
GACGAACGCUGGCGGCGUGCUUAACACAUGCAAGUCGAAGAUAGUGGCGAACGGGUGAGUAAUGCCUAGGAAUCUGCCUGGUAGUGUGGGAUAACGUCCGGAAACGGGCGCUAAUACCGCAUACUAUCAGAUGAGCCUAGGUCGGAUUAGCUAGUUGGUGGGGUAAAGGCCUACCAAGGCGACGAUCCGUAACUGGUCUGAGAGGUUGGCCAGUGUCACUGGAACUGGUACACGGUCCAGAGUCCUGCGGUAGGCAGCAGUGGGUAAUAGUGGACAGUGGGCGAGAGCCUGAUCCAGCCCAGCCGCGUGUGUGAAGAAGGUCUUCGGAGUGUAAAGAACUUUAAGUUGGGAGGCGUUACCAACAGAAUAAGCACCGGCUAACUUCGUGCCAGCAGCCGCGGUAAUUC